UACGUAGGGGGCAAGCGUUGUCCGGAAUCAUUGGGCGUAAAGCGCGUGUAGGCGGCUUGGUAAGUCUGGUGUGAAACCUCGGGGCUCAACCCCGAGCCUGCACUGGAUACUGCCUCGCUCGAGUCCGGGAGGGGAGAGCGGAAUUCCUAGUGUAGCGGUGAAAUGCGCAGAUAUUAGGAAGAACACCGAUGGCGAAGGCAGCCCCCUGGGUUAACACUGACGCUCAGGCACGAAAGCGUGGGGAGCAAACAGG
rnacentral:rRNA from 1 species